AUUGAACGCUGGCGGCAGGCUUAACACAUGCAAGUCGAGCGGGGUGAUGGUGCUUGCACUAUCACUUAGCGGCGGACGGGUGAGUAAUGCUUAGGAAUCUGCCUAUUAGUGGGGGACAACAUCUCGAAAGGGAUGCUAAUACCGCAUACGUCCUACGGGAGAAAGCAGGGGAUCACUUGUGACCUUGCGCUAAUAGAUGAGCCUAAGUCGGAUUAGCUAGUUGGUGGGGUAAAGGCCUACCAAGGCGACGAUCUGUAGCGGGUCUGAGAGGAUGAUCCGCCACACUGGGAAUGAGACACGGCCCAGACUCCUACGGGAGGCAGCAGUGGGGAAUAUUGGACAAUGGGGGGAACCCUGAUCCAGCGAUGCCGCGUGUGUGAAGAAGGCCUUAUGGUUGUAAAGCACUUUAAGCGAGGAGGGGGCUCAUUUGGUUAAUACCCAAGAUGAGUGGACGUUACUCGCAGAAUAAGCACCGGCUAACUCUGUGCCAGCCGCCGCAGUAA
rnacentral:rRNA from 1 species